CUACGGGAGGCUCCAGUGGGGAAUAUUGGACAAUGGGGGAAACCCUGAUCCAGCAAUGCCGCGUGUGUGAAGAAGGCCUGCGGGUUGUAAAGCACUUUCGGUUGGGAGGACUGCUUCUAGCACUAAUAUUGUUGGAAGUUGACGUUACCUUCAGAAGAAGCACCGGCUAACUCCGUGCCAGCAGCCGCGGUAAUACGGAGGGUGCAAGCGUGAAUCGGAAUUACUGGGCGUAAAGCGCGCGUAGGCGGCUAGAUCAGUCGGGUGUGAAAGCCCCGGGCUUAACCUGGGAACUGCAUCCGAUACUGUCUAGCCUGAGUACAGGAGAGGAGAGUGGAAUUCCACAUGUAGCGGUGAAAUGCGUAGAUAUGUGGAGGAACACCAAUGGCGAAGGCAGCUCUCUGGCCUGAUACUGACGCUGAGGUGCGAAAGCGUGGGGAGCAAACAGGAUUAGAUACCCGCGUAGUC
rnacentral:rRNA from 1 species